UGAAAUUACUGUUUCUAAAAGACUGAUAUAAAUUCCAUCCCAUCAUUGCAGGACAUUGUGGGGAAAACUGACAGACCAGCCAUAGCUGUUAACAGAAGUGGAGUCACAGCGUGCCUGCUAGAUUGUUUUUAUCAAAGUCCUUCAAGAAGGUCCUUCUUUCAUCAGGCAGCAAACUAUGGACGUUCUGAAUUCACCCACACUUGUGGACUCAGCAUGGCUGCAAGUCUCCAGAUCUCAUCAGGUAUUUGACACAUUUACAAGAUACCUCUCAGCAUCUAUUUUUCACUCUUCAGCCUGCUAUUUUCCAACAGGUAUUUUUUUCAGCUGUAUCUACUGGCAUCUGUAGAACCUGUUCACCAAAACUCAUACAGAAGGAAAUUUUACAGUGCCCACCCCCAGGCCACCAUUACUAGUGUUUUUGAGAAGCCUUCAGUUGUUAAACACAAGUGUUUCCAUUACAGUGAACGAUGCCAUUUGGGAAAUAUCUCCGUUCUACCCUGUAGCACUACAUAAGCUCCAUUUUUAAUAGUACUCUGUGAGUUCACCUCACCAUCAGACUUUAUCUAUCACUCUUUUAACAGUAUCUUUCAUUUGGCAACUGUUUUCAUAAAGUUAUGGAUUUAGAUUUUUUUGGUUUUUUGCAGCUCCUAUUAGAAAAACAAAUAAAAAAACCCCCACAAAAUAAAAUAAUAAUAAAAAAAACCCCAAAAAAAAAAAAACAAUAAAAAACUAACAAAAAAAUCCCCAAAUAACCAACUUUUUUCCUGCUUUGUGCAAAAGUUGCCAAUAGCUACAGUUUUCCUUUUCAGGGAAGGCAGGGAAAGGGGAAAAACCUUAUAUUGCCACCAAACAUUUUUAUUUCAUUAUCAUUUGACUAUAGCACUGGUAAAAACCACAUACAUAUUACUUAUGAAAAUUAUUGUGCAUGUGACAAUAUUCCAAGCACCAGUGCUGAAUUUUGCAUACUGAAUUGGACAGUAGUUCCUAACUAAGAAUGAAGCACUGUCAGUAGUUUUGAUUUCUGUGGCAACAUUUAAAAUACCAGCCUAUCAUUGGGAAAACAUGUUUUGGAGGUUAUAUACAGGUUUCUUAGGGCUCAUGUAAGCCUGAAAUACCUGGAGACAGUUUUGAAGAUAUGUAGUUGUAUAUACUUAUUUCUUGCCAUAUAUUCACAGUGGGAAGUAUUUUUUUAUCUGUAUUUUCUCCCACAAUUUACUUAUAUCCCCAGUUACUAUGUAUAAAGCAGGAUCUCCAGCUACAACUCCUUGCCCACUGUACACUAAAGUAUUUUCACUCCCUUAAUUUGCUAACAAUAUCAAUAAACAAAAAAGACUGUCUACAAGCUGAUUCAACACUAUCAUACAUAUAAGGACAGCAUUAUCAUGGACACAAUGCGCUGUACCAGAAACUGAAGGUUUGCUGUAAAGAUAAAUCUCCCUGCCAACUUACUAAGUGUCCUGAAUGUUGUAAAGAAGUAUUCCUCAGGGAGGUGCCCAGUUUAUUAAACAGAUUUUUCAUUAGUUUUUCAUGUUGAAUCUGAUUUUUAUGGAAAACAAUAAGUAAAAAAAAAACCAAAUCCCAGGAUUUUAUGAAACACUUCACCUUCCACUUGAAAACUGGAUGCAUAAUUUUCCGUUGCUUGGAACUCUAUAAUAUAUUGAGAACAAAGGCAGGCACCCUUAUUCUUUUCUAAGUCUGCAUCAGAAAGAUAUUUUUCCUGAUUUUUUUCAUAUUCAGUAAAUAAUCUAGGUGCAAUGAAAAAUAUAAAUACAAAAUGCACUAUCUGCUCUAAAAAUACACAUAUUUCAUAUUUCUAGUAUUGCUUACACGCUGCAAAUCUUUCAUUUCUGUUAUUGCAUGGCUACAGAGGAGGUAAAAUAAAAUUUUUAUAGACACAGAUUUUAGCUGUCUCCAAGACUGAUCUUUCUCAUAGAUAAAUUCAGUUUUAUUUUAGUCAUCAGCGUUAUUUAUCUCUGAAAUAGACAACUUUCUUAAUUCAGCACUCAGCAGUACUGUGGAAAUAUUGAUCUGCAAUCAACA